rnacentral:rRNA from 1 species
UACGGGGGGAGCAAGCGUUGUUCGGAUUUACUGGGCGUAAAGGGCGCGUAGGCGGCCAGCACAAGUCAGUUGUGAAAUCUCCGAGCUUAACUCGGAAAGGUCAACUGAUACUGUGCGGCUAGAGUGCAGAAGGGGCAACUGGAAUUCUCGGUGUAGCGGUGAAAUGCGUAGAUAUCGAGAGGAACACCUGGCGGCGAAGGCGGGUUGCUGGGCUGACACUGACGCUGAGGAGCGAAAGUGUGGGGAGCGAACAGG